rnacentral:rRNA from 1 species
CCUACGGGAGGCAGCAGUGAGGAAUAUUGGUCAAUGGGAGAGAUCCUGAACCAGCCAAGCCGCGUGAGGGAAGACGGCCCUAUGGGUUGUAAACCUCUUUUGUCGGAGAACAAAACCCGGGACGUGUCCCGGACUGCGUGUAUCCGACGAAAAAGCAUCGGCUAACUCCGUGCCAGCAGCCGCGGUAAUACGGAGGAUGCAAGCGUUAUCCGGAUUUAUUGGGUUUAAAGGGUGCGUAGGCGGUCCGUUAAGUCAGCGGUAAAAUUGCGGGGCUCAACCCUGUCGAGCCGUUGAAACUGGCAGACUGGAGUGGGCGAGAAGUACGCGGAAUGCGCGGUGUAGCGGUGAAAUGCAUAGAGAUCGCGCAGAACUCCGAUUGCGAAGGCAGCGUACCGGCGCCAGACUGACGCUGAGGCACGAAAGCGUGGGGAUCGAACAGGAUUAGAUACCCCAGUAGUC